AGCAGCCGCGGUAAUUCCAGCUCCAAUAGCGUAUAUUAAAGUUGUUGCAGUUAAAAAGCUCGUAGUUGAACUUCGGGAUCAAUGGAUUGGUCAUGCCGAUGGUGUGUACUGGUCAUAUUGGUUCUCACCUUCUAAGGAACCAUAAUGUCAUUUAUUUGAUGUUGUGGGGAAUUAGGACUGUUACUUUGAAAAAAU
rnacentral:rRNA from 1 species